rnacentral:lncRNA from 1 species
CUGAUGUUCUAAGAAGCAUUUUAAAAUGUUUGUUAACAGCAUGCAGUGUAUGGGAUGUUUAAUGGGCACCCUGCCUUUGAGACAGUGACUAUUUGACCUAUGUCUUGCUGCCUCAUCUGUAGCAAGGCAGAAUGGAAAUUGUGGAAGCUUUAUGGCACUGCUGAGAACGGAGCCCCAGUGCACACCAAUGGGAAGCCUUACCUUGUUCCAGCAGCCUUGGACUGGUAAGCCAUCUUCGCCCUGCAAGGAGAAAGGAAGGCAGAGGGCUCAGACUUCCUGCAAUGGUCCACCAAGUGGGCAGGACAGGGGUAACAAGGGCCACACGCAUUUUGGCAGCUGAUCAGGAUGUGGCCCACCCACGCUUGUCUAUUUCUUUUCUCUACUACAGGUCAGAACCUCAGAAGGAGGUGGAAACAAAUCCGGCUAUUUUACCAUUGGUUAAAGGUCACAUGCAGCUAUAGUGCAACGUCAAUAGGGGCUGUCCUAGCCCGUGGGACCAGCAAGCAGAGAUGUCCUUCCGUGCCACGAAGAAACAGUCUCUGCUGUGGCCCUAUGGAGUGCCGGCUGCUCACGGCUGUAAAUAGAAUCCAGCAUUUGUAUUGUCACCAGAGAGCACAGCUGUAUUGGUGAAGAGCCUUUACACAGAGGACACCCAUGACCCAGGGCACGGGCAGCUCUCGAGGCCCACCUACCAGUCCUGACUCAUCACCUCCAGCUCAGAUCAUCAUCUGCCCCAGCCCUGUUGGGUCAACCCUAAUCUGCAGCCCAGUACCUGCUUUCUGGAGGGGAGAAAUCAAAUCCUUGCUUCCAGGCUGCCAUCCCCAGCCCCCCCGUCCAGUGCCCAAGGAAAGCCAGGAGGAGCAAAACUUACCAUCAAGGCCAGCGUCCGGAUCUCCUAAAAAACCAACACCAGGCAAUCAGUUGAAGAGCAAACCAAGAGCCAAGUGGAAGGUUCUCACUGCACAGUCAUGGAAACAUGGGAGCUAGGCCCCUCAAAGGAGCGUGGGUGGAGGGAGACGCUUGCAGGUGGGCUCCAUGGCCCCCAGACUCACACCACCCCCACCCCACCUCUCGCUGAGGUUUGUAAUCACUGGAGAGAGAAUACGUAGCAUCUCCUAAGCAUGAUUAUACUCUGAGGCCGUCCUACAAUGGACUCAGGCACACCCUAAAUGGACUGCAACCUUUACUUCACUUUACUGAAGGGAAGGAAGCACCACCUCUUAUUCUUUCUAGUCACCUUCUGAGGACCCUCCCUUGUUCUUUCCUCUUCUCCCAGAACCCAGAUUUCAAAGUUGCCACGCACCUCCCUUUAAACAGACACAAUAUAGCAAAAUAUGGAACCACUCAAAAAAUAGAUCAGGGAGAUGAUUGUUGGCUUUAAAAGAGGAUUUUACACCUUGUAAAUGGAGUCACAUACGGACACAGACUCCUUUGAAGAAGUGGUUCUUGAGCAGGGGCAAUUUCUUCCCCCAAGGGAUAACUGGUCAUGUCUGGAGACAUAGUUUGGUUGUCACAGCUGAGGCUCGGGUGCUACUGGCAUCUAGCAGGUAGAGACUGGGGACGCUGCUGCACAUCCUACAACACACAGGACCGACUCUCCCCCCACCACAAAGAUUCUCUAGCCCCAAAAGUCAGUGCCAAGGCUGGGAAACCCUGCUUUAAAGGGUGGGGAGCGGGAGCUCAUGAACUUGAAACAGGGUUAAACUGACACGAAAGGAGAUGCGUUCCAGGAAGAUUUGCUGCUGCAUGAAAGGGGGUUAUACAUGCAUUAAAGAAAUGGGGCCCCAGCACCCUGCAUGGGCCGUAACUUGUGGGGUGCCAGGAUAAUUCCACUAUGGCACUCAGGGGCCCUGAGGCAGGAUAACUGGCCAGCUGGGCCCAGACAGAGAGCCCCGGCCACCUGGAUGCCAGUAAUGGGGCCAUUUCCCAGGAGGCUACACAGCGGGAGGUCAAAGGAGAGAAAGCGAGGAAGCAGCUCUCCUGGAAGCGCUGCCUGAGGGCCUGAGGGCAGGGCCCCUACUCGGCUGUGUGGAAGGGCCCCCUGAUCAGGGCAUGGUGCAGAGCCUGAGAUCCAUGAGGAUCUUGGCCUCUGGGCUGGACCCUGCUCACCUGGAGAGCCUCAUUGAUGUUUCCAUUGUAAUCCACCAUCUCUCCUUUCCCUGGUUCUCCCUUGGAGCCCUGGAAGGCAAAUGAGAUCUCAACCCACGGCCUGGACCGGGAGGGCCGGGAGGGCAACUGUGGCCUGCUCUCUAUCAGCCCACACUGGCUGCACCUAGCUGCACAUGGGUGGACCCAGAACAGCCAGCGGGGCCCUGGGGAUUCUGAACACUCUCAGAGGAUGCUCGGGGAUUGCAGAACAAAUCGAGAAGACUCCAUGUGAGAAGUCUGGGCUAGGCCGACCUGGGAAGAUUGGGUCCACCUGUGCUGCCAGUCAGACCUCCCACCUGAGGGCCAGAAUGCUCUUCCCCUCCUGCCUCGUCAAGACCCCAAGGUCAAGCCUGUGAAAGGGACAUAAAAACUUGGGACCCCAGUUCACUCUGCCAAAAGAAAAAAAGUUCAGCUGAAAGCUGAGUCAUGCAAGAAGCUGCCUUUCCUUUUGUUCCUAAUCAGACAGCUACAGAUAAAAGGUUAAAUAUCCCCACAGGUAGCUGCUCCAUGUUCACCACAGCUUACAUAAAGUGCCGAUUUACUGAGCGUGAGACUAAUACAUAAUCAACUAUUCCGCUACUUGCUCCUUUUCCCUUGCAGUGUGUGGAUUACCAUACCCUUCCUCUUUCCCCUCCAGCCUGCUUUUCCCCUUUAAAUAUUGAAGCCCUCAAAAUCAUCUUUGGCAAAAGGCACAGACCUGUCUCUUGGGCACGUGCCCUUAACCUUGGCAAAAUAAACUUCUAAAUAUUAAUUGAGACCUGUCUCAGAUGCUUUUUUGAUUUACCAGCCGCUUCACGCUGUGACUCCAGGAGGGAGAGGCACAUACCUUGGGGCCAUCUGGUCCCUGUUCUCCAGCUGCUCCACGCUCCCCCUGUUGCAUGACAAAAUUGGAGCAAAGUGGGGAUAAAGUUGGUACAGAGAGCCUGAUGUCCCUAGAUGGGCCAUGUGAUAAGGGCCA